UACGUAGGUGGCAAGCGUUGUUCGGAAUUAUUGGGCGUAAAGGGCGCGUAGGCGGUUGGUUAAGUCAGCUGUGAAAGCCCGGGGCUCAACUCCGGAUCUGCGGUGGGUACGGGCAGACUAGAGUGAUGUAGGGGAGACUGGAAUUCCUGGUGUAGCGGUGAAAUGCGCAGAUAUCAGGAGGAACACCGAUGGCGAAGGCAGGUCUCUGGGCAUUAACUGACGCUGAGGAGCGAAAGCAUGGGGAGCGAACAGG
rnacentral:rRNA from 1 species